rnacentral:misc_RNA from 1 species
AUUUUUAUGAGCUUCACGAGGGAGCAAUGAAGAUUGACAUGCACAAAUGUUUAUAGAAAAAGCUAUUAUAUUAUACCUCUCUCAAACAGACACAAUGUUUUCGCCAUCAAUCUUUUCCUACUACACUUGAUUUCUUUUUUCAAUCUCUACCCAUGGUAAGCUGUUAGACUUCCACAUAAUUGUCAAUAGUCUCUUUGUUUUUUGAGAUUUCCAAACUCAUA